rnacentral:rRNA from 1 species
AGUGAAUAGAUACCCAGGUAGUCCCAGCUGUAAACGAUGCAGACUAGGUGUUUGGACGGCCACGUGCCGUUCUAGUGCCGCAGGGAAGCUGUUAAGUCUGCCGCCUGGGGAGUACGAUCGCAAGAUUGAAACUUAAAGGAAUUGGCGGGGAGCACCACAAGGGGUGAAAGCUUGCGGUUUAAUUGGAGUCAACGCCGGAAAUCUCACCGGGAGCGACAGCAGUAUGAAAGCCAGAUUGAAGGUCUUGCUAGACGAGCUGAGAGGAGGUGCAUGGCCGUCGCCAGUUCGUGCCGUGAGGUGUCCUGUUAAGUCAGGCAACGAUCGAGACCCGCGUCCUCUGUUGCAACCAGCUUUGUGCUGGGCACACUGAGGAGACCGCCACUGAUAAAGUGGAGGAAGGAGCGGGCCACGGCAGGUCAGUAUGCCCCGAAUCUCCCGGGCCACACGCGAGCUGCAAUGGCAAGUACAAUGGGUUCCGACCUCGAAAGGGGGAGGCAAUCUCGAAAGCUUGCCGUAGUUGGAA